AGCAUUAAUCCAGGAUGUGAAUGUUUCGUUUAGUCCGUGUAACUGGCAAAGAUGUUUACAAUAAAUAUAUCCUGCAUUUUUAUUCUUAAUUGCAGUGACCAUGAAGAAAACAACUAGACGAAAGCCGCAGACGUUUAUCUCUCGCUUUGUUCGCACUUUGAAUGAGCAGUGGGGAUUGAAUGGUCACUGAUUGCUGUCCUCGGUUGGGAUUGCAGCUUGGCCUGUCAGUGUACUGCUGUUACAGUCAUGUUUAUUUCAUAAAGAUGACAACGAGGGGCACAUUAUAAAAUAAAUGACUGUCAGAAACAUCGCCUCCAUUUGUAAUAUGGGCACCAAUGCCUCUGCUCUGGAGAAAGACAUUGGUCCAGAGCAGUUCCCCAUUAAUGAACACUACUUUGGAUUGGUCAAUACCUGUUUGAUAACUACAUGCAGCAGGACGCCCACGAGUUCCUGAACUACCUGCUGAACACAGUGGCUGACAUCCUGCAAGAGGAGAAGAAACAGGAAAAACAGAACGGACGGCUAAAGAACAAUGGCACUGCCAUCGCCACGGACACUGAGCCAGAACAGAACAAGGCCGAGCCCACCUGGGUUCACGAUAUCUUCCAGGGCACGCUGACCAAUGAGACGCGCUGUCUCAACUGUGAGACGGUCAGUAGCAAGGAUGAAGACUUUUUGGAUUUGUCUGUAGAUGUUGAGCAGAACACUUCAAUAACACACUGUCUCAGGGGCUUCAGUAAUACAGAGACCCUGUGCAGUGAGUAUAAAUACUACUGUGAGAUGUGCUGUAGCAAACAAGAGGCACAGAAACGUAUGCGUGUGAAGAAGCUGCCCAUGAUCCUGGCUCUUCAUCUGAAGCGCUUUAAGUACAUGGAGCAGCUGCAUCGGUACACUAAACUGAGCUAUCGUGUGGUCUUUCCACUGGAGCUCCGCCUCUUCAACACCUCUGGAGACGCAGUCAACCUCGACCGCAUGUACGACCUCGUCGCUGUGGUGGUCCACUGUGGCAGUGGCCCAAACAGAGGGCAUUACAUCACCAUCGUGAAGAGUCACGGUUUCUGGCUGCUGUUUGAUGAUGACAUUGUGGAGAAAAUUGAUGCACAGGCGAUAGAGGAGUUCUACGGUUUGACUUCUGACAUUUCCAAGAACUCUGAGUCGGGAUACAUCCUGUUCUAUCAGUCCAGAGAAUGAAGGAGCAGAGGAGGAACAAAUGAAGAGCAGAAGAGGAGACCAAAAGGAAGGGUAUAUGUGAAGAUGAUAUCCGCUAGAUUCCUUUUCCACAUCCCUCUCCUUUUCCUCAUCUCAUUCUCAGGGUCUCCAGCUGAGACUGAGUUGCCAAAAGCCCUCUGUAACCCCAUUUGCCAAUAUGACAUUGCCCAAAAGUUCCAUUCUCCCAAUCUCGCUGCACUCUGUGGGGGGAAAAAGAUCUUCAAAUCUGACCCUCAAGUUAGUCACCUGCAUCUGGAAGGCACUUUAUAAAUAAAAACGACAAUAAGUAACACAAAAGCAACACAACAAAAAAAUCACAACAUAUUCAACUACAAUACUUGUGGAAUCAAACUUGAAGGAAUCAAAAAGCUACAAAAAGAGCAAUGAGUCCUGGUAUUCUAGCAAGAGUCACUGCUUCUGUUUGUUUAGUGCCCAGGAAAGUGACUCUCAUCUUGGGUAUCUGAAACCAGGAGGAGGGUUUCUCUCUCAAUCUCUGGCUUAAGGUCAGGGAGCCAUUUCGGGUCCCUUUAGAUGUUUCAUACUGUGAUGUCUACUCAUCAGUCCUCCUUCAUACGACUUUUACCCAGUAGCUGGUGAAUCCACACAUCCUAGUUCAGUCCUGGUCAUCGCAGGGGCUGUUUGCACUGUGUAACAAUUUGUUUUGGAUUUUGGGAUGUUGUGGGAAUUAGAUUAUGAUUCUGAGUGGUCUGUUAGAUGAGUGUGUGUGUGUGUGUGUGUGUGUGUGUGUGUGUCUGCAUUUAGUCAUGCAGGCAGCUGCUGUGAAGUGACUUUGCUUUUCAUCCAGAAAUAGUUGCAGACUUGUUACCGAGAGAGUUUUCAAAAGUUGUCCUAUUGAAUUCUCUGCUCUCUUCCAGUAACAAAGAAAAAGGGCAGAACUGCAAGGCUGAAAUGCUGCUUUUGUCUCCUUUCCAUUCUUAUCUAUCACUGUUGUUACCUUCCAUUGUAGGUAAUGGCCUUACAUAGACACGUGUGUUAACAACCUUGCAGUCAGCUCUUGUUGUUAAGUUCACCCAAAUCUGCCGGUCCCAACUGACUUCAUCCCACAAAGCAUUCUGCUUCAAUCUCACAUCUAGUUCCUGCUUUAGUUACUCCAGGUGGGUUGAAUCCAUCUAUUUUUCUCCUAAAUAGAUGUUGUAACUUGGUCCCUGGUCAUUUUUUUAAAGCAAAAUGAUGUGGCAUUUCAUUUUAUCAUUACUUUUAGGUGUUAAAGGUAUAUUCACCAAAAAUGAACAUUUGC